rnacentral:SRP_RNA from 1 species
GCCGGGUGCGGUGGCGCGCCUGGUAAUCCCAAGCUACCGGGAGGCUGAGGCUGGCGGAUCGCUUUGAGCUCAGGAGCUCUGAGCUGCACCGGACUAUGUCGAUCGGGUGUCCGCGCACUAAGUUCGGUAUCUGAUAUGGUGCUCCUGGGGGAGCCCGGGACCACCGGUCGUUAAGGAGGGGUGCACCGGCCCAGGUCGGAAACGGAGCAGGUCAAGCCCCCGUGCCGCUCAGUAGUGGGUCGCGCCUGUGAAUAGACGCUGUAGUGCAGCCUGAGUAAUACACGCGGGACCCAGUCUUUU